UACGGGGGGGGCAAGCGUUGUUCGGAAUUACUGGGCGUAAAGGGCUCGUAGGCGGCCAACUAAGUCGGAUGUGAAAUCCCCAGGCUCAACCUGGGAACUGCAUCCGAUACUGGAUGGCUUGAAUCCGGGAGAGGGAUGCAGAAUUCCAGGUGUAGCGGUGAAAUGCGCAGAUAUCAGGAGGAACACCGGUGGCGAAGGCGGGUCUCUGGGCCGAAACUGACGCUGAGGAGCGAAAGCGUGGGGAGCGAACAGG
rnacentral:rRNA from 1 species